AAAAAACAAUUUUUGAGUUACCAUAUUUAAUGCAGAAAAUGAUAACAUUACGAUAACUUACGAUAAGUAAAAAUGAUAUCAAUAUUUUUAUCUUAUUCAGACAUCAUUAUGAUAAAGCCGGUGCGAUUGGUUGCGGUAUAUAUAUAAGGGGCGCACGGUUCUCAUAUGUGGAUUAUAACCUCCUUCUUUCUUGCAUCAGCUGUCAAGCAGGCCACAUCGGAUCCCGUUCGCUUUUUGUCCAGCUCUCUUCGUCAGAGGCAUCAUCAAAAGGUUGUGUUAUUUGUUUCAAUAAAAUCUAUACACUUAAUCUUUUAUUAAUUUUUGUGCUCUCUGGCUCUUCUUCUUUCAACUCAAAAGUGGAAUUAGUAAAUUUUGAUAAAGACCUUCUAUUAAAUCAAAAUUUGUCAUCUCAAUUUGAAAAAAAAAUUUUAAGCCUGGGAGGAAUAAGUUUAUCUAAUACUAUAAAUAAGAUUAUACCUACCAUUAUAACAUAAACUGUGUCGUCAACUAACUUUUGGUACAGUUUUCAUGGAACUCUUGCUGUAAAGGAUCUUCAUUUUUCAUCGAUAAUCAUAAGUGCUACACGAAAAAAAAUUGCAUCUACUGUAACAGAUGUACAAGAACGCAUUAAAGAUUGGUUGCGUACACCAUCUGACAGGCAGAAAAAAAAGAGAGGAGUCAAUCAACAGCCUAUAUUGUGAUUAAUUUUCUAAUUGUGCUUAAACCAGUGAUUCUUAAGUAUGACAUAAGUAUAAAGUAUUUUGUUAUCGUAAAAAAACAAUUGUAAAAAAUACACUUUUAAAAAUAUCUAUUAUAAUGAAGGCAUCGUGCAAUUCAAAGAACUAUAGAUACCUUUGAAUUGAAUGAAUUGAUUGAUUAAUUUAUAAUUUAAAGGCCAUUAUUCAAAUGAAUUAUAAAUUUGUUCAAUUUAAAGGUAUCUGUGGUUCUUUGAGUUGCGUAAAUGCUACUAUUAUAUUAUUUAAUACUAUUUAAACGAUACCCUCAAGAUAUCAUUUAAUUUACACAGCAGAUAUCUGUAAGAUAUCAUUGAAUUUAGCA